UAAUGUAUGGGAAUCUGCCCGAUAGAGGGGGAUAACUACUGGAAACGGUGGCUAAUACCGCAUAAUGUCUACGGACCAAAGCAGGGGCUCUUCGGACCUUGCACUAUCGGAUGAACCCAUAUGGGAUUAGCUAGUAGGUGGGGUAAAGGCUCACCUAGGCGACGAUCUCUAGCUGGUCUGAGAGGAUGAUCAGCCACACUGGGACUGAGACACGGCCCAG
rnacentral:rRNA from 1 species